CGGGGCGUGGCGCAGCCUGGUAGCGCACUUGCAUGGGGUGCAAGGAGUCGCAGGUUCAAAUCCUGCCGCCCCGACCA
rnacentral:tRNA from 1 species